rnacentral:ncRNA from 2 species
CUUAAUAAUUUUAUCAAAGGUGCCUCAAGGUUAAAUUAGGGAAGUCCGGUGUAAAUCCGGCACGGUCACGCCACUGUAAGCGCAUAUUGCGUAAGUCAGAUCGCAGCCUUUGAUUUUUGCCAUAU